AGCGAGAGCUCCAGCUCAUUUCUGACUGUGGCAUCGGAUGGCAGUACAACUGAGGCUAACCAAGGUCCUGCCCAAGGCUGUGCUGUGAGAACAUUGACCUUGUCCAUCGCACACGCAGUCCUUCCAGAAGAUCACAAACACUUCUAGUGCUCGGGGGAGUCACCAUGAC